CCUACGGGGGGCAGCAGUGGGGAAUAUUGCACAAUGGGGGAAACCCUGAUGCAGCGACGCCGCGUGAAGGAAGAAGGUCUGCGGAUCGUAAACUUCUAUCAGCAGGGAAGAAGGAAGUGACAGUACCUGAAUAAGAAGCCCCGGCUAACUACGCGCCAGCAGCCGCGGGAAUACGUAGGGGGCAAGCGUUAUCCGGAAUCACUGGGUGUAAAGGGUGCGUAGGCGGUAGGGCAAGUCAGAUGUGAAAGCCCGGAGCACAGCUUCGGGACUGCCUUAGAAACUGUCUUACUAGAGUGCAGGAGAGGAAAGCGGCAUUCCUAGUGUAGCGGUGAAAUGCGUAGAUAUUAGGAAGAACACCAGUGGCGAAGGCGGCUUUCUGGGCUGUAACUGACGCUGAGGCACGAAAGCGUGGGGAGCGAACAGGAUUAGAUACCCCAGUAGUC
rnacentral:rRNA from 1 species